GCGCGGAGCACGCCGGAUCUCUGGAGAGACAAGUGUGUGCUAGCUGUCUGGAAGUUAAGGGCAGCGUCCCCGGUUGUACGGUGCAAAAACCACAAGACCUUGAGUCAACAAUGUGGCGGGAGCUGAAUCCUUCUUCUGCUCCUCCUGGGAUUGUGUGAGUAUGGGACACAUUUGGUGGGAUCCCCCAUUCAAGAUGGACUUUGAGUAAGCUGAAAGUCUGAUGACCAAAUCAACUCUAUGGGCAUUCAACCCUCUUGCCACUGAACUACAGACACUGGACAGUACAACCCCAUCCUCUUUAGGUUUACAGACUUGGGGGAAAAGGCUAAUGGAUUGGACUGGUUCAGCUGGUGUGAAGGUGAACAGUCCUCUGAGGGGGAGUGAGUAUGAAUAUAGGAAAUACAGAAGACUCAGAAACGAAGGUUAGAAAUUAGGAGGACUGUAGGUCUAUACUACACUAACCCUGAAUGUAUUUCUGAUAGCCUUUAUAUACUUUACAGUAUCGUGGGAAACAAAGUCACAAGGUAGAAGAACAAAUGGCCGAUGUACAUAGGAUAUCUAUUCCCAUCUAGAGGCCUCCCUGUUCCUUCCACCAAGAUUAAUAGAAUAUUCAGCCACUCACCUCAGUCUUCAAGUGUAUCCCCUCUUAGUGAUUCAAGAGUCAGCAGACAGGGAAACCUGCUAGCAGACUCUGAUCUGCCUUGACUACCUGACAGGAAAGCUUUCACAGAAGCAGGUCAAAAUGUCUCCUGACAUCUCCCUCUUUUUUAUUUUAUAAAAGCCAAAGCUGUCUCAGUGAUUGGUGCAAAAAGAGUGUGCCUGUCUUAGAUGUCUUCUCAAAAACUGCGAAUCUUACCCAUCUUCGGAACAUGAAUCCUGGCACUCAUGUCCUGUCUUAAGUUGAUCCACCUCUGAGGCAAUCUUACCCAUAUUUUACUAGCAGCCUCUGCAAUGGGGGAUGUUACCCAUUAGGUUACAGUUUUGAGACAAAUAAGAUGGAGACCUGCAUGGAUGUUCGAAAAGUAAUGGAGGGCAAACUUAAUCACAAGUGGUAACAAGUAUAAUCCUAUAACCAUUAGAGUACCUAAGGCAAGUACUGAGAAGGCCAAAUGAGUAAAAGAAAUUAGAAAGUAUGCCCUUACCAGCCUUGAGCAGGUUUUUUCCAGCCUUGAGCAGGCUGAUUAGACCUUGAGCAUUUGCCAUAUUGGACAAUAAAGACCUAGGUGGAGUCAUCUGCCUUGGUUGCAUAUGCAACUUCCUACAGGAACUUUGAAUAGACUGCCUGUUGACCUUGCUUUGCUCUGAAACAAAGGAUGGGUCUGUGGGCUCUCCCUAUAUAAAUGAAGUGCCGAAUAUUAAACUUGGAGCCUUGAUCAGAACCUUGUCUUGGCUUCAUUCUUCUCUCACUGCCCCCUUCUCCAUCUCUUUCAUUUCCAGUGCCACCUUUCAGGUAAACCCAGUUUGUCCAUGGUCACUGGACAGCUAUAGAUGGCAUCCUAUAAUAAAAUGAGGGGCCUGAAAAUGGGGGGGGGGGCUCUGAGAAAUGCUGUCUUGGGUGGAGCUCCACAGAAAACAGAAACAAGUAACAGUAUCCUGCACGGUAAGCAAUGAACAGCAUUAAUGCUAGCGCUAAUUAUAUUUUUUUGGAGGCUGUUGUUGCAGGAGGUGCAUUUGAGAGGGAUACAGGCUAGACCAAAGAUGUGUUGAUCCAACGCCAACUUCACCUAUGGAUGAUAGCACAAUUGCAUUUUUCCACAGCCAAAAAGAGCUGCAUCAGGUGAGAGAAGCAGGGUUUAAAAAACAGAUGUUAGAAAAAUUCUUAGCUCAAGUAGAUUUAUGCUGUCCAUGGUUUCCAGAAGUAGGAAUGAUAAAAGCUAUUGUAGAGCUCUCCUAGGAACAGGAAGAAAUUGGGAGAUAUCCUGCUUCCUCUCUGGCUCCUACUGGAGAUAUCCUUAGUUCUGGUUCUGGGUCUCUUAGGGAGGAUAUCUGGGUCUCUUUGGGACAUCAAGUUUUCUUCCCUCUCUGUCUAUUGUCUGUCCUUGGUGCAACAAUCUGUCCAACAAUCUGUCAGUGAAUUUAUGUCUGUUUUUGUUUGUUUGAAUGAUUGCUGUUCUGUGCUUCAUGUUC
ensembl:lincRNA Gm15834 predicted gene 15834